ACAUGGGUCCGAUUUCCUCCGGCCUCAGCUUUCCUGCCGGGCUCGGCCGCACCACCAUGGGCCAGCAGGGACCGUGCAACCCAGGCCUGAGCGCUCGCCUUUCCUGCCACGGGUUCCUGGCCGGGCUGACCCGAGGAGGACAAAUGAGCCGCCAGCCAGGAAGGAACUGCUCGCACCAGUCCCCCGACCACCUGCCGGAGACGGAAAAGCUGUCCUCCGGCUCAGACGCCGAUUCAGUCCUGCUGGUGGGAUGAGAUGUGGUUCCGGGAGCGGCCGCAGCCAUCUCGAACCCAGCGUGGCGAUGAAGCCAGUCCUGAAAUCUGCCCUCCCUCUAGACUGCUGGUUAUGAACUGCUGUGGGAAACGGAAAACUUAUCCAAGACCCCAACAGCGGACCGGGAUGCUCCCCUGGAGGGAGGAUCAGUUGUGGCGGGAAUGUCUGUUGACCUGCG